GACGAACGCUGGCGGCGUGCUUAACACAUGCAAGUCGAACGGAAAGGCCCUGCUUUUGUGGGGUGCUCGAGUGGCGAACGGAUGAGUAACACGUGAGUAACCUGCCCUUUACUUUGGGAUAACUUCAGGAAACUGGGGCUAAUACCGGAUAGGAGCUCCUGCUGCAUGGUGGGGGUUGGAAAGUUUCGGCGGUUGGGGAUGGACUCGCGGCUUAUCAGCUUGUUGGUGGGGUAGUGGCUUACCAAGGCUUUGACGGGUAGCCGGCCUGAGAGGGUGACCGGCCACAUUGGGACUGAGAUACGGCCCAGACUCCUACGGGAGGCAGCAGUGGGGAAUAUUGCACAAUGGGCGGAAGCCUGAUGCAGCAACGCCGCGUGCGGGAUGACGGCCUUCGGGUUGUAAACCGCUUUCGCCUGUGACGAAGCGUGAGUGACGGUAAUGGGUAAAGAAGCACCGGCUAACUACGUG
rnacentral:rRNA from 1 species